rnacentral:misc_RNA from 1 species
GGUAUAUUGUUGCGCACAUACAACCUGCGGGCGGCAGACAGCCUCACAACUACUGCGUCUCCCCUGAUGUGUGGUGGUUCCUGGACCCACUUGUUCAAUUAUAUUUACUAGACGCUGAACAAGGUGAGGAGGAAGAUCCUGUAAUGUGCCACAGUUGGUUGAUGUGUCUCACAGCAGCGUCGUGCCUGGCCCUGGCUGCUGCUGCUGCUCCCAAUAUUGUCUUCAUCUUCGCUGAUGACUUGGGGUGGCAUGAUGUCUCGUGGCAUAACGAGGAGGUAGUGACCCCCAACAUGCAGGAGCUGGUGGAGAGCGGGGUGAUGCUGGAGCAGAGCUACGUCCAGCCGCUCUGUACACCCUCCCGCUCCGCCUUCAUGACUGGCUUCUACCCAUUCCGCAUGGGCAGACAGGGAAGACCUCUAGCACACUCUGACCCGACAGGCCUCACCCUGGAGAAGACAAUCUUCCCAGAGACGCUGGCUCAACUAGGUUAUGCGACGCAUGCGGUUGGAAAGUGGCAUCUGGGCUUCUGUGAUUGGUCCUACACACCGACCCACCGAGGCUUCGACACCUUCUACGGGUUUUAUGGUGGCGUCGAGACCUACUUCUCGCAUACUGAAAAGAACGGAUAUGACUUCCGGGACCAGGAGGCUGUGGCAUACGAGGCUAAUGGGACCUAUUCUGCCUUCCUGUUUGGUGACCGGGCCGUGGAGAUCAUUGAGAAUCACCGUGACCCAACCAGCCCCUUCUUUCUCUACCUUGCCAUGCAGAACGUCCACACACCGUUGGUGGUUCCGGAGGAGUACCUGGCCUACUACCCUGACGAGGCUGACCCUAAUCGCCAGACUGUGCUGGCCAUGGUGACGGUGCUGGACGAGCAGGUGGGGCGUGUCGUGGAGGCCCUCAAGGCCUCCGGCCACUAUCAGAACACUCUCAUUGUCUUCAGCACCGACAACGGCGGAACGAAAAUUGGAGCGAGCAACUACCCGUUGAAGGGGAGCAAGAUGACGCUGUGGGAGGGCGGCACCCGGGGAGCUGCCUUCAUACAUGGUCCACUUCUGGAGAACACUCCCAGGGUGCACGAAGGCCUCCUGCACGUCACUGACUGGUUCAACACCUUCCUGGCCAUCGCAGGAGCCACGGAGCUGCCCAGUAACGAUGGUUACAACCAGUGGGACGCACUGAGAACCGGAACUGUGCCCUCGCCCAGGAGCAAGUUCAUCUAUAACCUUAACGUUAACAGUGACAACAGUAUCGAAGGAGCCAUCAGAGUCGGAGACCUCAAGUACCUGAAGGGGGUCAGCGACGACACUAACGACAUGUCUUCUUUCUUAUACAAUAUCUGGGCUGACCCUAACGAGGAACACAACCUGUUGGAGGUGGAGUGGCAGGUGGCCCUGGAGCUAGAGGCUCUCCUCCUGGCGGAGCUGCCGAGUCUACUACCCGUAGAUGUACCGGACGCCGACCCGGACUCCGACCCCGUCAACUACGGCGGCGUUUGGACUCCAGGCUGGUGUGACCCCCUUUCACCUGAAGCACUACUCGCUUGAAUGUUGAUGAAAUAUAUACUUGUGAGGAGUCUGUCUCUUGUAGGAAGCAUAAAUGGUGCCUCCUGGAGCAGCACUGUGCUGCCCCUUCUCUCCACUACGAGCGUCUGCCUCAUGUCUCUACCAUUUUGAGAAGAGAAUUAUAUUGGAUUAAUGCCUGGGAUAUUAGUUCCAGCACUGACGGGACAUGGGAGGGACUCAUCAAGCUUCAUCAUGUACAUCUUCCCCAAACAUGGCCGCCUAGAUGACAGUUAUUCAACAAAGUAAGCGUCCCGAAGUACUACGAACUCUUCUAUAGCAAUAAUAACCUUGGGUUAUUACCUUGAGAUCGACCUCGCUGCGUUUCCCAGCUCGUAAAUUGUUUGAUAAAUAGAAAUUAAGUCGUCAUGAUUGAGGAAAGAUGUAUAGGUUUUGUAAUUUAAGUGCUUGAUAAAUCAUGGCCAGUAACGGGGCCGGAUUCAGGAAGGUACUUACGAAGGUUUUUCUUCUUAGCUACGAAUGUUUUCCUUCUUAGCGCCUUCGUGGCGGCUACGGCGGUAUUCAGGUAGCUACACUAAGUGGAAAAACCUUCGUAA